rnacentral:rRNA from 1 species
AACAGGAUUAGAUACCCUGGUAGUCCACGCCGUAAACGAUGUCGACUUGGAGGUUGUUCCCUUGAGGAGUGGCUUCCGGAGCUAACGCGUUAAGUCGACCGCCUGGGGAGUACGGCCGCAAGGUUAAAACUCAAAUGAAUUGACGGGGGCCCGCACAAGCGGUGGAGCAUGUGGUUUAAUUCGAUGCAACGCGAAGAACCUUACCUACUCUUGACAUCCAGAGAACUUUCCAGAGAUGGAUUGGUGCCUUCGGGAACUCUGAGACAGGUGCUGCAUGGCUGUCGUCAGCUCGUGUUGUGAAAUGUUGUGUUAAGUCCCGCAACGAGCGCAACCCUUAUCCUUUGUUGCCAGCGAUUCGGUCGGGAACUCAAAGGAGACUGCCGGUGAUAAACCGGAGGAAGGUGGGGAUGACGUCAAGUCAUCAUGGCCCUUACGAGUAGGGCUACACACGUGCUACAAUGGCGCAUACAAAGAGAAGCGACCUCGCGAGAGCAAGCGGACCUCACAAAGUGCGUCGUAGUCCGGAUCGGAGUCUGCAACUCGACUCCGUGAAGUCGGAAUCGCUAGUAAUCGUGGAUCAGAAUGCCACGGUGAAUACGUUCCCGGGCCUUGUACACACCGCCCGUCACACCAUGGGAGUGGGUUGCAAAAGAAGUAGGUAGCUUAACCUUCGGGAGGGCGCUUACCACUUUGUGAUUCAUGACUGGGGUGAAGUCGUAACAAGGUAACC